GAUACCGUGACACACUCAGGACUCUGAAUCCUGCGACGGGAGUUCAAAUCUCCCCGGGACCU
rnacentral:tRNA from 1 species